rnacentral:rRNA from 1 species
GAACGCUGGCGGCAUGCCUUACACAUGCAAGUCGAACGGCAGCACGGGAGCAAUCCUGGUGGCGAGUGGCGAACGGGUGAGUAAUAUAUCGGAACGUGCCCGGUCGUGGGGAUAACGUAGCGAAAGCUACGCUAAUACCGCAUACGAUCUACGGAUGAAAGCGGGGGAUCGCAAGACCUCGCGCGAUUGGAGCGGCCGAUAUCAGAUUAGGUAGUUGGUGAGGUAAAGGCUCACCAAGCCGACGAUCUGUAGCUGGUCUGAGAGGACGACCAGCCACACUGGGACUGAGACACGGCCCAGACUCCUACGGGAGGCAGCAGUGGGGAAUUUUGGACAAUGGGCGCAAGCCUGAUCCAGCAAUGCCGCGUGCAGGAUGAAGGCCUUCGGGUUGUAAACUGCUUUUGUACGGAACGAAACGGUAAGCUCUAAUACAGUUUGCUAAUGACGGUACCGUAAGAAUAAGCACCGGCUAACUACGUG